GGGUUCAAGUCCCUCUAUCCCCAAAA
rnacentral:tRNA from 3 species